rnacentral:rRNA from 1 species
UGGCGGACGGGUGAGGAGCGCGUAAGGACCUGCCCCUGGGAGGGGGAUAACAGCUGGAAACGGCUGCUAAUACCCCAUAGCCUGAGGAGGGAAAGGAGAGAUCCGCCCAGGGAGGGGCUUGCGUCUGAUUAGCUAGUUGGGGGGGGGUAAUGGCCUCCCAAGGCAACGAUCAGUAGCUGGUCUGAGAGGAUGAUCAGCCACACUGGGACUGAGACACGGCCCAG